UACGUAGGGUGCUAGCGUUGUUCGGAAUCAUUGGGCGUAAAGCGCGUGUAGGCUGUUAAUUAAGUCGGGUGUGAAAUCCCUGGGCUCAACCGAGGAAGUGCAUCCGAAACUAAUUAGCUAGAAGAUGGUAGAGGAAGGUGGAAUUCCAAGUGUAGAGGUGAAAUUCGUAGAUAUUUGGAGGAAUACCGGUGGCGAAGGCGGCCUUCUGGGCCAUUCUUGACGCUGAGACGCGAAAGCGUGGGUAGCAAACAGG
rnacentral:rRNA from 1 species